rnacentral:lncRNA from 1 species
UCGCUAAAAAUAUUUUUGCAGGCGGGUGUAUCUACCGCCGGCCAAAAUGAUUUUCGUAGGCGGACCGCUUGGCCGCCUGCGAAAGUCAUAUAUUUUCGCAAGCCUUUGCGUACAGGCGGUUCUUUCCCCUGCCUGGAAAAACUAUUUUUGGCCGCCUAGAAAAACGUUUUUUCUAGUAGUGAUUGUUGUCGUCCUCGUCAUCGCCAUCAUUGCUCGAAGCCGCUGCCGUUGUUGUCACCAUCCUUGUCCUCAUCCUCCUCCUCAUCAUCGGGUGUAGGGGCGGGCGGGAUCCGCGCGGGAGAAGAAAGGGGUGCCAGUUCCGCUCCUCACGUUGCCACCGCCACAUCAUAGGGGCUGGAUCCGUCGCUGCCAAGUCUCCACAGUGCCAGAUCCGCCGCCACCAAGCCUCCCCACCGCCGCCACUAAGUCUCUCGACCUGCACCACCUGAUCAUCCCCUCUCGAGGCCAGCCGGCUGUGGAUCCGCGAGGGAGGCAGCGAGGCCCAUCCGCCGUCACCGUCGCUGACCUCCUCCGCCGCCACCGGAUCCGCCCCUAUCGUGGCCAACUGGUUGCAGAUCCAACCUCUUCAUUGACCUGCCGUAUGAAAUAGAAAACACAAUAUAAGACCCAAAAUGCCGAGUAGUGAGCAAAGGAGAUCAUAGAUGAAAUAGCUUGAUAGUCAACUUUAACCUAAGAUUUGCCCGUCAAACCACUGUAACACUGUAAGUAGUGACCGAAUGUGUUAUAUAUGCCAGGGACUUGACUCAAAAUGCUAAAUUUCACGAUCAUCUCAAUUGCUCAAAACCGUUAGUCCGUUACUCAUGAUCAGCUAGCCCAAGGAAGUUACUGGCUUCAUACUUUCGUCUUAGCCAAGAUAUCAAAACUCGUACAACUUAGAAACCACUAGAUACAUAUAGCUAAAUCAUAUAUAUACGGUCGACCAGCCAAUAGUAAAGGUUCAGCAGAAAGUAUGUCUACCUUAGUUAGAACCGUCUUAAUGAUCAACCGUUCUAGCAUCACUCAAACAUAAGCAACAAAUCUAUUCUAUCAAUUAGCAUUUGUGAGUUAUGAAUUUUCCAUGUUCUAUGUUAGUUAUACGUUAUUUAAGUUAAACUUAAUUCUUAGUGUAGUUUAUAUCUAAGUUCAUGUUAACGCCAAAAUUUAGUUAGAUUCUUUAGUGGGUUCGGUUAAGGAAAGAGCACAAUCAGCCGAUGGAAAUCUUAUCCAGAAGAGUCCGAGUUCAAAAAGGAAUCAUGGGGACCAUGACAUGGCAGCUUAAUUUAUCUAUUAAUUAGGCAAGUUUUGAUUUUAGAAAAGUUUGGGUCAUGUCCAAUGAGGACUUUAUAUUUUUCCUUUUAUCUUUAGAAAAGUUUGUUUAGUGUCCGAUCAGGACUCAUAUCUACCCAUGGUUACAAAUAUGUACACUUGGGGUCUCUGUAAAGUAUAUCCAGAUCAAUACAACUUCGGCGCAUAGCCACCCUUUUUAUUUUCGUCUUUGUUGACGAGUUCUUGUUUCGAAUUGGGCUACAUCGGCUUUGAUCUCCGACGAGGAGUAAGGCUUGUUAUGGCUGUUUAUAUUGGCGGGGCUAGGGCCUCGACAUUCUAAUCUUGUCGAUGUAAACACCUAUUUAUAAUAUAUCUCAGUUAAUCUAAGUUGAUGUCUCAAUUUACCUGUAUCGUCUAGAUCUUUAGUAGGGUUUUGUUGGUAUCAGUUAAAUUGUUUUAUCGAUCCAGAUUAGCUAAGGUAUCCACCACCCUGAAAAUCAGUCAAAGACUUGAUUGUUUAGAUUUUAUGUUUCUUUUCAUACUUAGUGCUGCAUCAAUUGAGUUUGACAUACUAAGUCAUGCUUAGAAUCAUAGAAACUAACUUGCCAAUAAGGGUUUCAUCGGGGUUUCACACCCGGAGAUUUCUCCUUUCCCUUAGUUUUUAAUUCUUUAAUAAAUCUCUCGAAGAAAACAUUCUGUCUAACCUGGAGCAAACCUCAAUUUAAUAAUGCACGUUAUAAUCAGAAUUGCCAUGGGAAUGUUUUUUGGUAGGGAUGAAAACGGAUCGAAUACGGUCGGAAACUAGCUCUACCAUAUUCGUUUUCAUAAUUUUUUUUGGAAUCGAAAUCGGAAUCAGAAACCCGGAUAUGAAAACGGAAUCGAAUAUUAUCGAAUACAAAUACGGAGCGAAUACGAAGCGAAACAAAUACGGUGACGAAUAUUAAUCGGAAUAUAAAAACCUCUCACUACUCACAAACGAUUUUUGAUAUUGUGUUUCUAAAAUCAUGCUCUAUCAUGUUAUUGUGUUUUUACCGCUAUUAUUUUGGCAAUUUUUUCGUGACUUUGUUUUAUCAAUUAAAAAUUUGAAUUUCAAAACUUCAAAUGAUAUUUUGAAGCAGUAAAUAAAUUCAGCUAAAAAAGUCAUGAACAUAAAAGUUGUAGAACUCAUCAAGACAUACAACUUUUAUUUUGGUCAUUUCUUCAUCCGACAAAAUGAUAGUAACAUUGUUCACAAAACUUACCUCUCUCAUUUAGUUUGUAAAACUAAAUGAGAGAGAUGUAAAUUUUGUGAACAAUGUUAUUAUCACUUUGUCGGAUGAAGAAAUGACCAAAAUAAAAGUUAGAGAUCUUGAUGAUUUAUAAACUUUGUUGUUGAUGACUUUUUUAGUUGAAAUCAUUUAAUAUUUGAAAAUGUUGUUUGAAGUUAUCAUAUUUUCAAAUUCAAAUUCAAAUUGUUCAAACAAAGUCAUAUAGAAAAAUGAUCAAAAAUAAAAGUUAUAGAUCUUGAUAAGUUAUACAACUUUAUUUUUGACAAUUUUUCCAUUUGAAAUCAUUUACUACCCGAAAUAUUUUUUUGAAUUUCUUACAUUUUAGAAUUCAAAUUUUAUAUAGUUCAAUCAAACUCGGAUGAAGAAAUGACCAAAAUAAAAUUGGUAGAUCUCACUGAGUUCUACAACUUUGCUUUUGACAACUUUUUCAUAUGAGUUCAUUUAGUGUCAUAAAAUUCAAUUCGAAUUUAUUUUUUCCAAGAAGUCUGAUUUGCCUCCUCUUUGGGUUGGGCCGGCUUAUGGGCCUUAUGUGUAAGUCGGAUAUCCGAUGGAAAAUACCGGAUAAUAUCCGAUUCCGACGGAUAUCACCUAUAUCAUAUUCGUUUUCACAUCCGAAAAAAAAUAUCCGAAUUCGUUUCCGAAUUCGAAAAUUUCCGGAUAUAUCCGACCGAAACUAUCCGAAUCCGAAAAAAGAUCCGGUCGGACGGAAAUUAUCCGAAUCACUUUCAACCCUACUAAUAGGAGUUUCAGAUGAAUAUUCAAGGCAGAGGAAGAAACCCCGUUAACCUAAUAAAAAUCAUCAAGGUUCAAUCCAAUUAAUUCAUUGCUCUGCCGGUGGUUCGCCGCACCAUCGUUUCCUUGUUGUUUUUGGCUUCGCCCUGUGUUCACGGGUCGAGUCCUGUCUUAUUCCAAUUCCGUCGCCGUUUUCCUUUCCUUUCCUAAAAUGGCACCGCCUCCUUGUCCUCUCCCUCUACCGCCUCUCCUCCCCCUGCCGCCACCCCAGCCGCGCGCUGCGCCCCACCAAAUCCUACCACCACCCUAGCUGCCCCUCUCCACCUCUCCCAUGCCGUGCCGCCGUCUCCCCGCCACCGGAUCGCUGCAGCCAUCAUCGUCUCCCGUGAGCCCUCUCCUUCCCCUUAUCCCUCGCCGAUAUGGUUCACCGUCGAGUUACCUCAUCUAAUCUAAAAUAUCCAUGUUUCCCUAGUUGUCGUCAUCGCCGUCCGUGUGUUCCCGCCGGAUCGCCGCCAUCGUCGCUCCUCCACCGGUCGCCGUUGUUUCCAGGUGAGGUAUCCUUUUGUUUCACCUCUUUGUUUUGUGUGUCGCCGUCACGGUACCGCCAUUGCCGGCGCUUGCCGAGCCACCGCGCCACUGCGGCCGCCUUGCUGCGCCGCUGCCCUAGCGUCGCCUCCGCCGCCGCUGCCUUGCCGCGCCUGCCGUGUCGCGCCGCCUGACCGCGCCGUGCCACCACUGCCCUAGCCGCAGCCGGCCGCAGCCCUUGCCGCCUGCCGCGUCCGCUGUCGCUGCCGACCAUCUUGCCGUCGCGUGCCGGCCCAUAUCGGCGAGGCGGCCUUGCCUCGCCGUGCCACGUCUUGCCGCAUGCCAUGUAGUGUAUUGCUGUGUCAUCCCAGUUCGGUCAAGCCGAGUCGGUAAAACCCUAGAGUCCUUCGGUUGGUUCCGUGACCCACCCAAGCCGCCGGUUUUGUUCACUGGUUCGGUGGAUCGUUUGUGUGGUCCUGUGCCACGGUAGGUCGAUUCGUUGAGUCGUUGCUCCGUGGGGCUCAUCUACCGGGGUUCUAUUCCGUUAAUCUUGUCUGCACUCGGGCAUUAAUGUUUAAUAAUGGAAUAAGGUUACCGGUUAAUAGUAAUUACACAGUGCAUAUUGUAAAAUUCAUAUCUAAAUCAUUCGUGCUCCGUUUUAAUCCAUUCAAGUCUCAGUAAAUUCAUAAAAAUGUCUAGAAUCCAUUAAAAUGGUUCCUUUUGUUGUUUCAGUUGAUUUAUAGCAUGUUUGCUUGUGUGCCUUGUUUGUCGUAUAGAAUCCAACUGUUCUGACGCUCCCGUUUACUUCAGAGUGGUCACCGAAGUCCCGUCAGCUGAGGAGCAAAGCAAGUCAUACAUACAACAUUGAUCAUACUGAACCCUCUUUAUAAAAUCCCUUGCUUUCUAUUAAACUGCAUUGUUUUUAUAAUGUCGUGUGGGAUGGAUGCCUAUUGUACUCAGCCUAUUGUUGCCUUAUGCCUUGAUAACCUGGGUAAUGAAUUGAUUAGAUGAUUGGUUUAGGUGAUGCUUAGCCAUGCUUAGAUCAAUUAGCACACUAUGGGUUUCAUCUUAAUUUAGUCCUUAAUUUAAUGAUAUUGUACCAUCAUGGUAUUAAUUUAAUUAAACUAAAAUAUGCUUAAAUGGUGGGUCGUGGGUGCAUGGUUUUGCUAGUCACACCCAUGACAAUUAAGGACCGGUUCUCGGGAAACCCUGGAAGAAUUACCCGUACUUACCACAGGCCAGCGUGGGCUCCAGGCUGAAUUUGGAGCAUAGCUUAACCUAGCCAAUGUACCAAGGCAAGGGUGGGCGUGAUGGAGUAGGACGGAUCGUGCUACGGUCUUUGUUGCUUCCAGAUUCACCUAGGCACAAGAGGGGACUGUCCGCUGCCUAUUGAGGAGUGGGGGGUGAAACUUGAGGUGCGUACGAUUGGUUAGCGAGAGUUAUGUGAAGGGUUCUAUCAUAGUCUCUUUUCGAGAUACCGUGGUGGUAUUGAGGCGCAUGGUAACAUGUUGUGAGGCUGUGUCUUGUGGGUAAAGUUGCACACCUCUGAUCAGAGUAAAACUAUUCGAAUAGCCGCACCCGUGGUUAUGGACUGUCAACCAGAUUCACCGUGAUUAGUCUCAUCUUAAUAAAUGGAUGUGUUGAACUGAUUUAGUUCAGGUGGUUUGGUUGGGCCUGUUUCAACGUGGUUAAACGUUGGGCUGUGAUGUUAACAUUGAUUAAGCUAUAUCUACUUUUUACUAUGUUCAACUGGUGAUUUUAAAAUGCUUGCUUUUAUGCAAAUAUCCUAUAGCCUUUCCUUUGCUUUUACCUUGCAUCAUGCCUUCCUAUUGGUAUGACUUAUUGAGUACGGUGGGUGGUACUCAGUCUUGCUUUAUUUUUCCCCCAACCCUCAGAAGCAGAGAAUUAUUCAGAUCGAGAUUAUUUUGAGGAUUAGGCUUAUUCCGGAUAUUGAGGAUGCCUGUGGUUAUGGAGGAUGCUACGCUAUCAAGAAGAUCUUAGUUUAGAUUAUUCGAUAAUUUAUUUCCGCUGUAUAUGUAAGAAUCAUUUAUUAUUUUUUGUAAGACGUGGAUCUGUGUAUCAAUUUAUCGUUUGUGUACUCAGGCUGGUCUUGGACAAAGAAUUUAACACACAUUCUGCUUGAGAUUCGGGUUAGCGAAUUUCUAGGCGUGAUAGGGUUUCAGCCAACGAGUUAUCUGAAUGUUACGUCGGCUUACAAGGAUUAUAUACAAGUUGGUUUUAGCCGAUUGCAAUAAUGGUUUCACUGAUUAUCUAAUCAUGUGGAUUUAAUGACAUCGGAACACCAACCAACCGAUAUAUGCUUAACCUUCGGAUCAAGCAAUUAUUCUAUCAUAUCAUUAUUGAUUGAUUGGUUUUUAUUGGAUUAUAUUAUUAUUUUAUAACAUUAUCAUCAACCAAUUGUCUUUUUAUCAUUAUUUACUUAAGUGUUAGAAUCUACAUUGGAUAUAUAGCUGAUUGCUCAAAACUCUAUCGACAUCAGCUAGCAUUGCUAUAUCAGCUUAUUGCCUGAUCGGCUCUUAUUUGUACAUAUUGUCAGUUGCAGAAUCAGAUUGACCCGCACGUCCACAUCUCAUCAAUAUUUUGGACCUGCACUGGAGUAAGCAGAUCAACCAGGCCGUUGUGUUCGUCGACUUAGUCCGUGCCAACACAAAUCUGGUACCAUCGGCCGAGCACGGAUUUUGCGUCAAUAGUUUUUGAAGAUUUGGGGUACAGCAAUAAAGUGUGUGUUCUACUAAAUUCAACCAAGUUGAGUUUUCCAUUUUUAGACCUAGUAUCAAUUUCAUCAACGAUCAAUGAGCAGUACGGGGCCUAAACUCGUCACAAAUGUCAAGGAUACAUCAUUGCUAUAGAUAUUUCCAGUGUAAAACGUUAUCGGUCAAAAAUGAUAGUGGAAGUCUUGUACUUCCCGAUUUCGUACGAAUUUGAGGCAAACAUAUGUGUUGACUAAUAUAAUGGAAUGGACUUCCAUUGUCGAGGAAGUUACCACGUAAAUUUGUUCUUGCUUUUCUACACUUUUUUUUUUGAACAUUCUUUUCUACACUUGAAGUUUCGACUAUUUCAUACCUGUGGACAAUGACAAUUUCCCACGGUAGACAUAUUUGAUGACAUAAUCCAAAGUAACUAUAUAAGCUAGUGAUCUGCCAAAGAAAAUACUCACUCCGUCCUAAAAUAUAAGUAUUUUUUAGACUUCGAGAUGCUACUUUGACCAAUAAAGUUAAGAUGUUUUAAAUAAAAAGAGUUGCAUAUUAUGAUAAUUUGUUUAAUAAUAAAUCUAAUAACACCAAUUUUACUUGAUUGAUAUUUUUCAUUUAUUUUACUAUUAUAGUUAAAAUUAGAAUGUUUGACUUGACAAUAUUAUAAAAAUGCUUAUAUUUUGGGACAUAUGGAGUAAUAAAUACGUUUAAAAAAAUCCAUCAUGUUCCUCCAAUUAGUUUAAUAAAGCAUUGAUAUUCCUUUUUUAUCUAAUGCACAAAUUGUGUAAGAGGUUUGAUAGCACUGUUUACUUUGUGGAUUACCAGGUGAAAUUGGAAAAAGUUCAUGCUUUUCAAGUGAACCAUCAGAUUACAUCGCGUCGCAAAAUAUCGUCAGACAGCUGUUGGAAAAAGUCUACGUAAGGAGGCAACUGUCGGUAUAACUAAUAAGGUAGUAUUACUUAUUUUGCUGAAAAUUAAGGUCUGAAAGUUUGCAUAGUCAACCUCUUCCAUCUUAAUUCAACAAGAUCUCCGUAACUAAGUCCGUACACACAAACUAGUCAUGUUCAACAGGAAUGCAUUGACUAUUCGACCAAGAAUAUGGCACCAUCCAACAAUCAACAUGGGUAAAAGAUGUAUAAACGCCUAUUAAUAUAAAUGUCCUAGUCCACUAUAAGAAUCAAAAGCAUCUAAAAACUGAAACCAUAUUGUCCAAAAUACACACCAGCAAAGAUGGUAUGUGCAGCUAUACACAUUGCAGUCGUAGCAAUGCUCGUCUCCCUUACAGCAUUAGCAAUAGCUGACGAAUCCGACAAUAACCAACGGGAAGCUCUGCUCUGCAUCAAAUCACACCUCUCAAGCCCAGAGGGAGGCGCCCUCACCACAUGGAACAAUACCUCGCUCGACAUGUGCACCUGGCGCGGCGUGACAUGCUCCAGCGAGCUCCCAAAGCCUCGUUUGGUCGUGGCCUUGGACAUGGAGGCACAGGGCCUCAGCGGAGAAAUCCCACCCUGCAUCUCCAACCUCUCGUCCCUCACGAGAAUCCACCUCCCCAACAAUGGCCUCUCCGGUGGCCUCGCAUCCGCAGCCGAUGUUGCCGGGCUCCGAUACCUCAACCUCAGCUUCAACGCGAUCGGCGGUGCGAUCCCAAAACGCCUUGGUACGCUUCGCAACCUUUCGUCCCUGGACUUAACAAACAACAACAUUCAUGGCGAGAUCCCGCCGUUGCUUGGGAGCUCAUCUGCCUUGGAAUCCGUCGGUCUCGCCGACAACUACCUGACCGGAGGAAUCCCAUUGUUCUUGGCUAAUGCGUCCUCGCUCCGCUAUCUUUCCUUGAAGAACAAUAGCCUCUAUGGGAGCAUCCCUGCAGCACUUUUCAACAGCUCAACCAUCAGGGAAAUAUACCUUGGAGAAAACAAUCUUUCUGGUGCAAUUCCACCCGUAACAAUAUUCCCUUCCCAGAUCACCAACCUUGAUCUUACAACGAAUAGCCUGACAGGAGGCAUACCACCAUCUCUAGGGAAUCUCUCAUCGCUUACAGCACUCUUAGCUGCAGAAAACCAGUUGCAGGGAAGUAUACCGGAUUUUAGUAAACUAUCGGCGCUACGGUAUCUUGACCUCUCUUACAACAAUCUUUCUGGAACUGUAAAUCCCUCCGUUUACAACAUGUCGUCAAUCACAUUUCUCGGUUUGGCCAACAACAAUCUUGAGGGGAUAAUGCCUCCUGGUAUAGGAAACACUCUUCCUAACAUCCAAGUUCUGAUUAUGUCUGACAAUCAUUUUCAUGGAGAAAUCCCUAAAUCUCUAGCAAAUGCUUCCAACAUGCAGUUCCUGUAUCUGGCCAACAACUCUUUGAGAGGGGUGAUUCCUUCUUUCGGCUUGAUGACAGAUUUGCGGGUCGUCAUGCUGUACUCAAACCAGUUAGAAGCUGGAGACUGGGCAUUCCUGUCAUCCUUGAAGAAUUGCUCCAAUUUGCAGAAACUGCACUUUGGCGAAAACAACCUACGCGGGGACAUGCCCAGCUCUGUAGCCGAAUUGCCGAAAACAUUAACUUCACUAGCUCUUCCGUCAAACUACAUAUCUGGCACCAUUCCUUUGGAGAUUGGAAACCUAUCUAGCAUAUCCCUACUUUAUCUUGGUAACAAUCUAUUGACAGGGAGCAUACCUCAUACUCUUGGCCAACUAAACAAUCUUGUUGUCCUUAGCCUUUCACAAAACAUAUUCUCUGGAGAAAUACCACAAUCCAUUGGUAACUUGAAUCGAUUGACUGAACUCUAUUUAGCAGAAAAUCAACUGACUGGAAGAAUACCUGCAACUUUAUCGAGGUGCCAACAAUUGUUGGCAUUGAACCUUUCAUGUAAUGCCCUUACUGGAAGCAUAAGCGGAGACAUGUUUAUCAAGCUAAAUCAAUUGAGCUGGCUACUCGAUUUAUCACACAACCAAUUCAUAAACUCCAUACCACUAGAACUUGGUAGCUUGAUAAAUCUUGCUUCUUUGAACAUUUCCCACAACAAACUCACAGGCAGGAUCCCAUCUACACUUGGUUCUUGCGUCCGGUUGGAAUCGCUUCGUGUAGGAGGCAACUUCCUAGAGGGAAGUAUUCCACAAUCAUUAGCAAAUCUCAGGGGCACCAAAGUGCUGGAUUUCUCCCAGAACAAUUUAUCUGGUGCAAUACCGGAUUUCUUUGGGACUUUCACCUCAUUACAAUAUCUAAAUAUGUCAUACAACAACUUUGAGGGGCCAAUUCCAGUAGAUGGAAUCUUUGCGGACAGAAAUAAGGUGUUUGUCCAAGGAAAUCCACACCUUUGCACCAAUGUUCCAAUGGAUGAGUUGACUGUCUGCUCUGCUUCAGCAUCCAAAAGAAAGAAUAAGCUCAUUAUUCCAAUGUUGGCAGCUUUUUCAUCUAUAAUCUUACUUUCUUCAAUCCUCGGAUUAUAUUUCUUGAUCGUCAAUGUUUUCCUGAAAAGGAAGUGGAAAUCCAAUGAGCACAUGGAUCACACCUACAUGGAACUGAAAACGUUAACAUAUAGUGAUGUAAGCAAAGCAACAAAUAAUUUUUCAGCAGCCAACAUAGUUGGCUCUGGGCAUUUUGGGACAGUCUAUAGAGGUAUACUGCAUACAGAAGACACUAUGGUCGCUGUUAAGGUGUUCAAGCUCGAUCAAUGUGGUGCAUUGGACAGCUUUAUGGCAGAGUGCAAAGCACUGAAGAACAUCCGUCACCGAAAUCUUGUCAAGGUUAUAACUGCAUGCUCAACUUAUGAUCCGAUGGGCAGUGAGUUCAAGGCUCUAGUAUUUGAAUAUAUGGCUAAUGGUAGCCUUGAGAGCCGGCUUCACACAAAGUUUGAUCGAUGUGGUGAUUUGAGUUUGGGAGAAAGGAUUAGCAUAGCAUUUGAUAUUGCUUCUGCUCUAGAGUACCUUCACAACCAAUGCAUUCCACCUGUUGUUCACUGCGAUUUGAAGCCAAGCAAUGUACUUUUCAACAAUGAUGAUGUUGCAUGCGUCUGCGACUUUGGUCUGGCAAGGUCAAUUCGUGUUUAUUCAUCUGGAACUCAAAGCAUAUCAACAAGUAUGGCUGGGCCAAGGGGGUCUAUUGGGUACAUUGCUCCUGGUGAGUAGGUUUUCUGAGCAUACUGCAGAGUAUCAUACAAUAUAAAGAAAUUACUAUUAUAUCUCUUAUGAUUAUAAUUUGGUACUCCUAUGUUUUGCUGGUUAUCUGAACCUUUUUGUUUUCGAACAAAGCAGAGUAUUAUUUAAUAGAAGGAAUAAGUAUUUUAUGAUUAACACUAUGGUUCAUUUUACUGGUGAUCUGAACUUUUUGGUUUCAAAACAUUGCAGAGUAUGGCAUGGGCAGUCAAAUCUCAACUGAGGGUGAUGUCUAUAGUUAUGGCAUUAUUCUUCUGGAAAUGCUAACAGGAAGACACCCUACCAAUGAAAUAUUUACUGAUGGCUUGACACUCCGCAUGUAUGUCAAUGCAUCACUUUCACAAAUCAAAGACAUACUUGACCCCAGGCUUAUUCCAGAAAUGACAGAGCAACCUUCUAAUCAUACCCUGCAAUUGCAUGAACACAAGAAGACAGGUAUAAUGGACAUCUGUGCUCUACAACUCCUUAAACUCGGUCUGCAAUGCUCUGAAGAGUCGCCAAAAGAUCGGCCAUUUAUACAUGAUAUAUAUAGUGAAGUAACGUCAAUAAAAGAAGCAUUUUUUGCAACGAGCAUUUGACACAAUAAAAGAGGAACACCAAAGAAUGAAGCACUGCCAAAUUUAUCUUCCAAAGUUUCUUUACUACUGCAGUAAGCUACAUAUGUUUUUACCGCUACAACAGGAUACAUUUGCACACUGUUAUUUACCGAUGCAUUUCAAGCAGCAAUUUCUAUCAUGUAAUAAAAAUUCUUGUACAGUUCAAUGAUUUGUUGCCGAGAUGCAGCUUGAUCUGUUUUUGAAGUACUGUUACUAGUAAAGCCUUCACGCCGCGGGAAUAAAGAAAAAUAUAUAAAUAGUAUAGCAUAUUCUAUCUUAAUUUCCCAUGAUUUUGGGGUAAAAUUCGGGCAUAAACUGAAGGCUGAGCAUGUAUAUGAAAUCGGAUUUGAGAGGAAAUCAUGUUUACUACUCAAACGUACACCUGAAUUUGUUUUAUACAUUGAUUUUCAGUUCCAUCUCGAUGCAAACUGGGAGGGGUGGAGGGUAUUCUCACAUGUACGAUAAGAGAAAUUGCAUCAAAAUUAGGAGGGCUUAGAUUAUCUAUGCUAACGUGAUGGAUAAAACAAAUUUCUUUAAAAUAGCAUUGUAAUUACAGAGAUAUAUCGACUAAAACAGAAGAUCGGAUCUAGCUAAGACAGUCCCAACUAAACCAAUGCUUCCCUGAACACGAUGAAGUUAAAGAUAGAAUUAAAAUAUCCAGUAAGCAAAUAUACCAAUCUAACUAGAGCAAUCCAAGAGAUCCAAACGAUGCGGUCUUGAAGAAUGCCAAUAAAGCCGAUACAAUUGCCAAGGCCUACGGAACUUAGGGCAUACCCCUUCGCCGGAGAUCGAAGCAAUGCAGCCCCAUGUUAGAUGCCAAGUUCCGCCAGUGAUAAAAACUAGGAAAAGAGGGUGGCGAUGCAUCGAAAGUUGUAUUGAUCGAGAGAUAAUUUACAAUGACCCCGGGUGUACAUAUUUAUACCCAUGGAUAGAUAUAGUCCUUAUUAGACACGACAAAGAGUUUCCUAAAGAUAAAGUAAAAAAAAUACAAACCCUGAUCGGACUCUAAACAAUCUUUCCCAAAAAUAAAAAGAAAACUAAGUGACUCUACCUAAUUAAUAGAUAAAUUAUCAUGUCACAUCCUUCGUGAACUCGAUCUCUUCUAGAGAGUAAGAUGACUAAUCUAAUUCACCGAUUAGAACCUGUCGAGAACAGCCCGACAAGAUCUAUUCGGCGACUAGGGUAUUGGCUUCCUUUGAAUUGUAUUUUGAUGUGGCUUUAGCUAUGGCUUGUAACUUGAUGCCCCUCCCUCUAGCUCCCUCCAGGAGGGGGCCUUAUUUAUAGUGAUGAUCAACUUCUUCUCCUAGUGAAACUCGGAGAACUAGAACAUAAUAUGGGCCAAGGAGACCUUAUCUUCCCCGACUAGGACUCUGACACCUUCUAUUCUGGGAAGAUAAAUUCCUUCUAGAUACCUACACUUUCUUAAUCAAAGGAUACCUUCUCGUGUAACAUUAGAUAUAUGAUAUUUCCGUAUAGCGUAAACCUAUCUAUAGGAGGUGUGCCUUAUCCUUAACACUGACAAAAUGCUUUUUGAUAUCAUCUGUCCAGGUGGUGUUGCCUGUGAAUGAGCAACUAGGCUUCUAGUGAGUUUUAGCUAGUGAAUGAUGACCAAUUAAGGGAUUAAUACACUUAUUGAGUGUAUAAACAAGGGAUUAGUAUGAUCAAUAAGAUAAUGAUGAGAUGAUGAAGAAGUAGGAAUACAAUAUGGUUUCAUUGUGAUGGAAGGGUAUAAGUGACUGAAGAUGACAAGAUGCGGUAAAGGGUUGAUAAGACUUGCUGCCUACAUGAUGGGCCAUGCAGGAGAGAAGGGAAAGCGGAGGCUUGGCGCCAAAGGACUCGAUACAAUGGUGAAGGGCUUGGGGCAACAUCGACGGUCUGGUCGAGUCCAUAAAAAGUCACAAGUUAAUAAGGAUCAAUCUUUAUUAAGAAGAAGCGUAUAAUUGUAUAAGGCAAGGCUUGGAAAGAAGAAGAAGAAGAUUUCCAAGGAGAUACACUGGGCUGGGCAAUCUUGGAGCAGUAAGAUUGUCAAGGAAAGCUACAAGAGCUGGACAAUCCGAGAGGGGUCGGAUUGUCCAGGAAGGGCCAUGUCUAAUUACUUUCAGAGAUUUACAUGACUUAGCUGACAGAUCCAUGACUCAGUCACAGACGCAAUUUGGCCUCGUAAAGUUCCUCUUCGUACCCAAAAUUCAAUUGGCAACAUCCUUACAUGCAUAUUUACAAAUCCAUUUGAAUGCACAUUGUUAGAUCAUCGUCAAUUAACCACUACUCAAUGUAGACAGCAAAAACUGGGAGGCAAUUCCUACAGGCUACUGCAACUUCUUCCUGACUAGUGCUAGCAGGAAACUCACCUGCCUGUCAAACAUGGGUGCUGCUGUUCAUCUUCUCCGUUGUUUUUGUAGCUUCUAAGGAACAAGCUGCCAGGCCAGCUGCAUCACAUUGUCAUCGAUGUAUGGCCGCAAAUCCCACAUUUGACAGUAGCCCUCUAUCUCCGACGAUGAUGUUUUAACCCAAAAUGCCUUUACAAUCUUUUCCUGCAGUGUACUCUAGCUUCUGUGAGAAGAAAAGGUAAGCAAUCAAAUGAAACUCACUUACAUGCAGAUCCUUGUGUUGCUAACCUGCAUCAUGUAAUCCAUUUUUAACAUAUUGUGAACCAGGACAAUCACACUUGCAAAAGACACUGCUCCGUCCAGCCAAUCUUCAGGCUGUUGUUCAUCCUGGUACAAGAAAUCUCCCAGUGAGCCUAAUCAGCCAUACUAUUUUGGCACCAACGAAAACCAGAACUAAUGAGAGUCUAAUAAGUAAUAACACCAACAAGAAUGCGCACCUCAGAACAAACAUUUGUAAGAUUAUCAUGAUCAGGGCAAUCAUCCGUAUUUCUUGAAGAACUCAGACUGGCUGUUAGUGCAGCACUGUAAACAUCUUCCUCCAGAAACUGGAGCUCUUCCAGCAAUAAUUUGGCUGAGGAGAAAAAUAUAAACUGAAGAUGUAUUCAUAGAAAACUAAGACAGAUUAUUAUUUAGGUUUAGUAUUUACAAUAUUUUGAACACGUGCAUGAGAAAAGUGAAAAUGGCAUGGAACUGAGAUAAAAUGCAAACCCUUGUAUGGUUUGUUCAUGCUCCAUGAUGCUUGGAAGAAUAAAAAUAGAGAGGAGAUCAUGGAAAAACUGGGAAAGGCCACACUAGAAAUAAAAUGUUGUGCCAAAGACUACUUCUGUCCCAAAAGGAGUUCACUUCUGUCCAGAUUCGUGUAGAAAAAUGAACUCUUUUUGGGACAAAAGUAGUAAUUAAUUUCUCCGUAUCAAUAGUUCUAUUACAAAUAGCACAAAUUAGAAAACACACAAAAAUCUUUCUGAAAAUAUGGAAUAACAAAGUAAAAUGUUACUAUUAUGGUAUGACUGAGAAAGAGGAGACUACCUUUAUUUAUAUGGUCAUUAAGUUUCUCCUGAUAAGCAUGUACUGCAACAAAAAACUGUACUGUCAAAUAGACAUAGUUGAAAAAGAAUAAUGAGUUGUGAUAAAAAUCAUGAAUUGAAAACAAAAUAUGUAAUUAAAGAAAGUGUUAAUCAUCGAAGCAAAGAAGACACCCCACUCUAGAAACUGCUGUGCAUUAAAAUUAUUGUUACAACAAACAAAAGGAUAAUUAAUGACCUAGUUCACAGUAUAUUUACUUUUCUUUUUAGUUUUUGGCUAAUUAGAAACACUGCAGGUAUAUAUCAUAUAAAAACAUUCAAGGCUUCAAACUAAUAAACAAGUUUUUUUAAUUAAAGGAAGAAAAUGUUGUGUUUUGAUUUUUUUUUAUUUCUCCUAUAAAAAAUUAAGAGGUGCAUUCCACAAUUACAAAGUUCAACUAACUAGAAUUGCAGUAAAAUAGUACCAAUCAAGGUAUUCAUAUCAGCCAUUCAUUGGUAUUGGCAAGAAAACAUGAUAUACAAGGAAAUGACUGGCUUGAUGUUUGAACAGUUUCAAUCUAUAGGCACAGUUCAUGAUUCCAUAUAAUAAGAAUAAGUUGAAUACUCCAUAAGACAGGCAAGACCCACUUCAGUUAGAAAAAGAGGGCGAUGAGUGAAAUUGCAAAACAAAAAGGAAUGAAAUAAAAAAGUGUGAGAUAAGUUUUGCACUCUUCAUGCUAACAAUAUAACUUGGUAAUUUUAUUAGUGAGGUCUGAAAAUAAAAUAUGUAGGGAGUUGCAUCGUUACAGGGUACUGUACAAAGAAAUGGUCACGAUGGUUAAUCUGACUACCACUAUAUGAGGAAAUGAGAAAUUAAUUUGAAUGGAAAGCAAUAUUGCACAAAGUUUUUAAUAAUUAGUCAUAAAAAAUCUGUUUUCAAUAUAGACGAAGAAACAAGAAAUUAAUUUGAAUGGGAAGGAAUAUUUCACAAAGCCUUUAAUAAUUAGUAACAAAAAGCUGUUUUCUAAUAUAGACAGAACACCUACAGGUAGCAAUAGGAGAUGUGAUGAUUGGGCACAGAAAAAUGAUCUAUGACUUACACCGGUUCAUGUUCUGGAUGAUUUCAUUGUGAUGGGUGCAGCCAGCUUCAAGAUAAGACCUCAUUCUGUCACUGUAGUUAGACUUAACUAUCUCAAUUAUGGCACUUGACUCUGUGAGGAGCUUUGGUCUCCAAAAAUGUUCUGAAAUAAGUGGAUGCAUUCAAGUUGACUGUAAGCACAAAACUUAUCAGUGAGCACAGCCAUAUUUAUCAUCAUUGUUCGGAAAGAUUAGUUUAUAGACCAAAUUUAUGUUCUCCACAUUGAGAUUCCACAUGGAAUCGAUGUAAUAACGUGAGUAUGCUAAUAAGUAGAAUAAACAUGAAGCAGGAAUCCAUGGGCAGGAUUGAGAUUUGAAGAGUAAUCAUUUGCCAGAAAAUGAUAAUUUCAGUACACAAUUGCAUGGCAUACAAGUUUACAACAGAAAUUUACUCUGUUAAAUACAACAUCCGCGGUCCAACAAAUAGCAGCACAGCUAGGUAGAACUGAAAUAAAAUACGAGAUUACACCAAUAAAUGUUGAAAUAAAAUAAUGUAGCAAAAUAAAUAUAGUUUACUUCAAAUUUACCAAAGCAAGAAAGCUAGUAUAAAACUUGGCCCAUCUAAGACAGGCUUAUUAUGGGAAUUUUUACAUUUUUCUUAUCUUCAUCGUAAAACUGAAAGCCCUGGCUUAUUCUAGGACCUGAAGUUUCAACAGAUCAGGACCUAGCCCUAAACUAUCAAUAGUGGUCAGGAACAUGGGGAAUCAAUAGGGUAUAAGUAAUUAUGCUAUAGAAUUUUAGAAGACUUGGACAUGAAUCAUACGAUGGACAAUCAGGUGAAACCUUCAAAAAUUUAGAUCCAAAAAAUAGAGAAGAGAAAAUUACGCUGGCUAACAUAUUUUUUUUCAGGGAAAAAGAAAUGAACUCACCUACCUCUUGAUGAAACUUGAGAAGAACCUUUUUACCUGCAUCAACUAGCUCGUCAUACCGUGCAACCCUAAAAGCAGCAACAAAUUCGCCCGUGUAUUUUCCAUAAAUUAGACAGCCACAAGAAAUAAACAACUUAAUGAAGGUGUCUGCCAGUGUAAGAAAACGAACGAACAUAACCAUAAAACAAUACCUCCUAGACUCUUAUAAAAUUAGUACGCAUUAAUUCACACCAUAAAUUGGAAAAUAUUCACCCAGGAAAAUUAUUCAAAGAAAACCCUAGGUUUGCAUAAGAAUUGGAACCCUAGGUUUUCAUAUAAGAAUUAAAUAUGUGCAAGCAAAGAUUUGCAAAAGUUAUUAAUUCAGUUGUUUUCACUGCUACUGAUAUUAGUUUCAACACCACACAACACAUCAGAUCUACUGCAAAAGUUAUAUCAGGACCUCAAUGGUUGGAAAAGUGCAGGAUCGAAAUUAUUACUUGGUCAUGAAAUCCAAGAAGAUGCGAUGAACUUUGUCCUCCACACAUGCAUCAGGCGAUGCCAUUCCCGACUCGCUGCUUCCUUGGCCACGACAAGAGCCCCUGAAAAUUCAGCACAAAACCCAAAUGCAUAUAACAGCUCAGCACUCCACCACGAAGUAAACAAAUCAGCAGCAGACAGGUUCGAGUCUCCAUUCCAGAAAGAAAGAGCAUAUAGAGAUGUGGAUUGGAUUGCUCAUGGCAGUCUGAGCAAACUGUUAUUAGUACUAAUAAGAUUAAACCUGCAAAGAGAAAAUGCUUCCAGAUCUAGAGGAGGAGUUGAAUGGCGUGAACGGGGGAUGCGCGGACAGGUAUGGGUGCUCACCGGUGGCGGCAACGCUGGUCGCGGGCGGGAUGGAGGAAGGCGACGGCGACGGCGGCGCGGCGAGGGAACACGGGACGCGAGGAAAAGGGAGGGCUACACUGGUCAGUUAGGGUGGGCCGUAAGCGUUAUGGGCCUUACACAGCCUGGCUCGGCUGAAACAAACACAGUUUAUGAGAUUUUCUUAGGAAAAAAAAAUCCAAAUACUUCCGUAAACUUUGAUUGAAAAUCAAUGUAAUACCUCGAACUUUCAAACUGAACAUGCAACCACUAAAUUUUACAAUACUAUUUUGUAACAUCCUCAAAUUUUAAACUAAAAUUUGAAUGCAUCAUGCUGGCUUUUGAUUAAAUUUGUUUGGUUUAAAAAUCUAUUUGAUUUUUAUUUAAAAUUUGGUUCAAGUAUUAGAACCCUUUCAAUCUACUCUAAUUAUCCCCUUUAUUCCAAACCUUAGUAAAUUUAAGCAAAUUCUCUCAAAUUUCAAAGCAUAGGUUAUUUUCUUAAUUUACCCUAAUAUUAGUGGAGAUUUGCUAUACUUCAAACCUUAGUGAAAACCUUCCAAAAUUAUAGUUUAAAUUCAAAUCUUUCUAGGGAAAAUAUUCAAAAUUUCUGAAUUCUACUGUUCAUUGCACAUAAGGUGUUCGGUAGAAUGUCUAACCCAACUAGAGCAGCCCAACUCCAUCCAAUCUUGAACAAAGUUUAGAUUUGGUCCUAGGGGACCACAUCCCACUGAAAAACCGUGGCUUUCUUUGCCUCUUCCUCCCCUUGCGCGCGCCGCACUGGCAUCCGAUUUUGCCGUGCGCCGUGUCGCCGCGCGUCGGCUUUGAGGCCGCCCGCGCGUGCCCGACCGCCUUGGCGCGCCGUCGCCCAUCCGAUGCCCUCAACCCACCGUCGCCGCACCAAUCUUGACGACGACAAAGCUAGGACGACGACCGCCGCACGAAAUUGCUGCUCGACGCCGUGCGCUCCCGUCCAAGCUGUCGCUGAGUGCGAAUUCGCUUGUACCCAGGGUGAAUCGCGCCAAUUCUUGCUGCACGGUUGGAUUGGAGAUAGACGGUGGUAUUCCCUCUCACAAUUCAAACCAUUCACCCCCGAGCCGGCCGUUUUCACCCUCACCGCCGCCGCGCGUCGCGCCCGGAUUGGCGCCAACACGUCGCCAGCCGAUUCCAACAGCGGUCAAGUCAAUCCUUCGCCGGUAAGUAUUCAAACGUGACCUCCCGCCACUCAAAUUGAUCUUGGCCGCCCUCUCACAGCCUCUGCCGCCCUAGCCAUAUCCAAAGCUCGAGCUCAUCCAUGGCGAUGACGGUGUCCGAGCUCAUCCGCUCCUCCUAGCCCUAUAAAUAGGACCCCAAUCCCUUCCCUGUCCAUCAUCGAUCAUCAACAACCAUAGCCCCACAACCCCGAAGCUCUGCUUCACCAAUCCAUUCCAUCAACCACCAUCGCCCGUCGGUCGAACACCUUGUGCGCGAUCGACUCCACACCCCUUCAUCCAUCCUCCGCGCUAAUUACCCCUUAGAACACCUAUAACCUACCAUGUUCUAGCAUACUAAGCCCUAAUCGAAGCAUCGCGCCGAGUUUUACCACACUGCACCAAGCCGAGCACCGCCGCCCCCGCGCUGCUAUGUUCUUCGCCGCCGCGAAGUUUUUCCGGCCGUAAUCCAUCGUUUCAACCAAUCUCGGUGAGUUCUUCCGUUUUAACCAUCUACAUACUACCUAGAGUCCAUUUUUGCAAUCGGUUUGCACUAUCAUGCCACCCUCUGAGCUGCCGACGUGAGCACGGCUGCCGCCUAUAGAGGCGCUCGUCGGCGACUAUACUCCGCGCCUUGCCAAAGGUCGGCAAGCUGCCGGAAUCCCUCUAGACACCUCAUAGAUGCUCUAGAACCCCUCCCCUAGCCAUGCCUAACUCUUAUCACCUUGAUCGCCAUCUCGGCCUAACUGUGCCACCGCCACCCUAGAUCCCUAGCUCCCUCCCCUCCCCGGCCGCAACCACUUUCUCCCUCUAGCGCCGCCGCAAUCGCCAACCCUAGCGCCGCCGGCCGCUUUUGGGGAAACGGCUGGAGGUUGAAGAAGAGAAGAGAGAGAGAGACUGACAGGUGGGACCCACACAUAGUGCCAUUUCACAUUUAUUUGAUUUUCAAACUUUAGAAGCCCAUAUCUUUUAAAAUAUAGAUCCAAUUUCAGUGAAACUUGGACCAAUAUUCUUCAAAAAUCAUUCUCUAUCUAUUGAGCCCCUUUUUUAUAUUUUUGAAUUUUAUUUUAUUUUCUCUAUUUUUCUUAUUUUUGGAUUUUAUGUGAAUUCCUUUUGAAUUUGAAUUUUAUAUGUCUAACCCUAGGUCUUGAGGAUUCCUCUGACACACUAGAUAAUAUCAAUCAAUCUCAGGACAUCGAGCAAGGCAAGUUACCAUAUACCUGUUGAUCAUUUAAGCCUAUAUUUUACAAAUUAUUUAUUUAUAGCCUUCUAUUCAAUAUUCUAUUUUCUAUGCAUAAAUCAAUCAUAGAAACUCAGAUAAUUUAGUAUUGCUUAUUUUGCUUACAAUCUGGUUAAAAUACCCUAUACUUAGAUUGGGACAAUACGUAAGAUUUGGAUGAUUUCCGGGUGGCUAGUAUUGUCUCGAUCGAUAUAAGUUUCGCCAGGUACUUAUGUUGAACGAACGGGUACGACCGCAGUUUCUAGAAUGGGGACAGACCUAGUUAUUAUGUUAAUUAGCAAUAUGGCACCUCUGUAUAGUGGUUCUUAUUUUUAAGUCCUCACGCAGGAGGCAACUAUAGCCGCGAAGGGCAACUUUAACCAUUACCAUGUACAUGUAAAUGGUUUGUGAUACUCGAGUAUAAACUAUAUGGUAUAUUUCUAAACCCUGAUCGAGAUGACGUGGUGUCAUACGAUCAGUUCCUCUUAAAUACCUCGGAAACGCCAGAACUCCUCUUGCUGCUGUUAACAUUACGUUCAGAGCAUAUGAGGAUAUAAAUUCAUAGAACAGGUGCCAAAAUUGUUAAUAACUUAAUACUGGGCUACAACUAAAGUCGAUGAUUAUCAGCAGGUCGUGGACUGCGGGUAAAGCGUACAUCUACUGCAGUAGAAUAUCUUUGAAACUAUUCGAAUAGCCGUACUCAUGGAGUUGAGUACCGGGACUCAUAUGGUACCCUAGUUAGAAAUCUAAAGUUUAUAUGUUUUAUAAAUUCUUGCUAUAACUUUUCCAGAUUGUCCAAUACUGCUUUUUGCAAAGAACCCUAUUAUAUGUCCGAAUUCGCUAUCCAUCUGUCGACAGAUUUUCGUUUAAAGAUUUGUCGAUUUUUGGGCCAUAUGAUUUGCGUGGAGAUUUGUGCUAACUAAUACGAUGGAUAAAAGAGACAAGUCCGUGCGUAGCGGGGGAUCGAUUCCAAGAGCACUAGUUUUCCCUGUUAAACGUACACCACAGAGCAAUUAAGCCAAGUUGGUUCAAGACAAAAUAAAGUUUAUAUUGAAGUUACAGUGUUAGAAAACUAAAAUUACAAUGUAAUUAUACUAUAGUUACAUGUAUGUAAAUAUGGUGUAAUUAUAGUGUAACAAUAAUAUAAUUAAAAUUACAGUGCAAUUAUACUAUAAUUAUAUAAUUACAUAUGUAACUAUGGUGUAAUUAUAAUGUAACAACAAUGUAAUUAAAAUUACAGGGCAAUUAUACCAUAAUUACAUAUGUAACUAUGGUGUAAUUAUAGUGUAACAACAAUGUAAUUAAAAUUACAGUGUAACUAUACCAUAAUUACAUUUGUAACUAUGGUAUAAUUAUAGUGUAACAACAAUGUAACUUUAGUAGAUGGAUUGGUAAUAUCUUUGUAUGCACUAAAAAAUAUCUAGUAGAUAUCACACUAUACAUGAGCAGAUGAGCUCUCAAGGAUUAAUAAUUAAUAUGGAUAAAUAACCAACUAAUUUUGAUUAAGAAACGAGAGUGUGAAUUAACGUCGGAAGCCCAUCCAUACUAUCGAUUAGUAGAUGCGGGACCUCAGCAGUGCUGUACACGUGUCAUCCAUCUAUCGUUUAUGGGUUUAAUCCAAAGGUACAAAAUUUGACAAAUUUAUGAUGAAAAAUCUGUCGACAGAUGUGUAGACUCUCCCUUAUAUGUCAAUGCAUAACAUAUUCCCGUGAUAACUUGCUAAGUAUUGUAAAUACUCACCCUUGCUCUUAUAACCCCUUUUUCAGAUCUGGGUCAAGAGGAGGACCCUUAUGACUAUUACUACGAAGACCCCGAUAAAUUAGAAAAUCCCUAAAGGUUAUACCUCACUAGUCAGAAUGUAUAGAAACUUCCGCUGUGUAUUAAUUAGAUAGGUGAGUACCUAUUAUUGUAAAACCCUUAGUAUUGUAAGACUUUAACAUAUGUAAUGAAGAACCAGUUAUAUUGUAUGUAUCAAUUUUACUGAUCCAGGGAUUGAUACAUUAAUCUCAGUCGGAUCCAAGUUAUUGGUUUUGGGCUCCGACAUAUUUAUAUAACCCCUAAGGUGAUUUCGGAUAGUGUUUUUUUUAUCUAAUUUGUAUAUAAGUUAGAUGAGUUUGAUCACGUGAUAUACACAUUGAACAUAUUUGUUAAAGAUCUUUACUUAAGUUUUUUUUCCUUUACCCCUCGUUCGCUCUCACUUACAGAACGAGUACCAACAUAAUAAUUGUAUAGUAUCAUUGUAUGGCAUAAAUUGAUAACCUAUAUUGAUGAUAUUUAAAUUUGUUACAGUAGUUAUUUAAAACCACUUGUUUAAGCUUUGAAGAGUGAAAAAUCAUUGUCCAAAACCAUUUUAAGGGGUAAUGCGAAUUGUAUUAUAAAAUUUAGAUUGUUGGGUGUUUGAUUUUAAAGUUUAGCUGUUAGACGGAAUUCCAUCCAAAAUUUAAGAGAGGUAUUGUAUUUGGACUUUUUCUAUUUCCUUUUCAUUCUUAAAAUUAAAAAGACUUGUUCUAAUCCAAUCAAGCAAAACAACGUAUGGGACCCUAAACUAUGAAUCGAAUCAUCUCUCACAAUGGAUUGACCUAAGAAACAAUCUGUUUUCAAGAAAGCCAUUAAUUAAUAAACAAACCAAAACGCAAAAAGCAGGGGUGAUGUCGAAAACCCUUUUUUGAGAGAGCACUGGUGAUCGGCAGGAACAUGAAAUUCCUAAUUCCUUCAUGAGUCAGUUAAAAGUGUCAGCUGGGUCCUGUACAAUGCUACUGUUGAAAAUCUAAUCAAAAUUCGGCAUUAUUUUAUCUAAAAAUUCAUUAGAAAAAUCGAGACAACUAUGUGCGGCGUGAGUGAUCCAUUACUUGUGCUAAACAUAAAAAUGCUAGAGGUAAAAUUAGCAACUACGAACCCAUUCAACACAAAAGAAAUGAAUGCCGGAUUGAAACUCUAAAAUUACCCGGAAGAAAAGCUAGUGCUUGGAUCACUUUGAUCCAGAUGCAGUGCAGUUUAUCCCACCAACAGAAAGAGCAGUCAUGCUGUGAAGUGCUUCCCAAAAUCUUAAUCGCCCCAGACCUAAUGACCAUUUUUUUUAAUGUAGUGUAAGGCUGGAGUCGCUGUAGCUAGGUUUUACUACUCCGUCCGUUUCGUUUAUAAUGUAUCGGACUUUUACUAAGUUAAAUUUUUGUGAGUUAUUUGGCCAAUUUAUAGAAAAUAGUAGUAAAUUAAUUAAUUGUAAUAAAUCUAAAAUUGAAUAUAUUUAAUGGUAUGUUUUUAAAUUGUGUUAAAAGCGUUGCAGUGUUUUUAUGUGAACUUGAUAAACUUAAAAGAAAAUUUAUUAGAAAAAAUUGAAACGUUUUAUAAUAUAAAACUGAGGGAGUAGUUGGUUAAGCGCAUGUGCGUAGAUCAUCGGAGAAAAUAAUUAAAAGAGAGACGUGUAAACAGUAUUACGCAAGUUGAAUCUUAUUUCGGUGAGCUGUCUUCCAGCUGAUCCAGAUGCAGAUAGGUGGUAUACACUAGUCUUUGCCAGCCAAUUCUAGAUGGAAAGGAUCUGUACAAGCAAGGCCCAUGCACUUUGGAUAGGUCGCACUCGCCGACUUGUACAUGCACAAGUUGUAGAAUGGACGAUGGAUUUGGGAUUUGAGUUGCUCUUCGUAGUGCACCUGCGCUGGCACUCAGAUCUUCAGAUUUUUCAGAUUUUUUAGAUGAUGGAGAGCUUAUCAAGAUUGUAUGUCGUAGGCUUGAGACGACAGUUAUGCAACUUUUUACAAACUAUGGAUGGAGAUUCACAAAUAAACUUGAAUAAAUGUGUACUCCUUAUCUCGGUUUGGUCUUUUAUUUUAUUGGGUGUGUUUAAUUUUAUUUUGAACUACACUCUUCGUUUGAGUGAUACUUUGUAAUAAGGGCCAAUUACAUAUUUGCCACUAUUUUGAAUCGGUAUUGUGAAUUUGCCAUUACAAAAAACAUAAUUACAUAUUUGCCACCAAAAACGAUUGGAACCCAGCAUACCUACCAUCAAACUCACAGCAUAGACUAACACCGUUAGAGUUUGGUUUUCAUGAAAGUGAGGACAAGGAUGCCCCUCCCCAGGAAAUUGCAAUUCUACCACUGGAGCAUACAACCUAGUAAAAUCAUGCAGCAUAAGAAAAUAAAGAACAGUGGAACAUAUCAACAUACCUCACAGGAAGAUCGAUCGUGACCUCACAGGAAGAUCGAUCGGGACCUAGUCCUCAUCAUUUUGUAUAAUCUAUUCAUCAAAUGGAAUCUUUAGUAGAAUAUAAACAACCUGUUGAAAUGAAAAUUGGACGGUGCGACGGUUCGUGUAAACCCCGACACGGACAGGCCAUCACAAAUGCGGAAAUGCCAGCGAUCAGAUGAUCCGAUCCCCCUCCCCACUCCUCCACGUGGGUUCUUUUUUUUUGUUGUACACCUCAAGUUUUCACAUCUAAAGUUUAUACACCUAAAGUUUAGAGACCCAAAGUUUAUAAGUCAAAAGUUUAUAUAUCCGAUUCAAAUUUGAAUUUGAAUUCAAAUAUUUUUUAAUAUAGUAUUUAUAUACAUCUAAAGUUUAUACACCUAAAGUUUAUAGACCCAAAGUUUAUAAUUCAAAAGUUUAUAUACCAGAUUCAAAUUUGAAUUUAAAUUAUAUCCAAUUCAAAUUUGAACUUGAAUUCAAAUAUUUUUUAUACAUAGUAUUUCUAUACAUUUAAAGUUUAUACACCUAAAGUUUAUAGACGCAAAGUUUAUAAGUCAAAAGUUUACAUACCCGAUUUAAAUUUGAAUUUGAAUUCAAAUAUUAGUUUAUAGACCCAAAGUUUAUAAGUCAAAAGUUUACAUACCCGAUUCAAAUUUGAAUUUGAAUUCAAAUAUUAGUUUAUAGACCCGUUUACAUACCCGUUUGAAAUUUAAAUUUAAAUUCAAAUAUUUUUAUAUAUAGUAUUUUCUAUGCAUAAAAUUUUUCAACUUUGUUUUUUUAUUUUUUUUUAAAAUUUAUGGUGUACUGGGAAGAGAAAAAAGUGAGGAGGAAGGAAGAGAGUAGAGUAUAGAGGGGAGAGGGGGAGCGAUCACCCGCCCAUUAGCACCCCCUCACAAAUGAGCAGUUCUCUGUGUCCUAGUGACCGUGCACAGCUCAUGGUUUGCAUCGAUCAAAAUGAGCUGUGGUAUAUUAUCUCUCGUAGCUAGCUAACUAGCUAUAGCUACAUAUAUCUACAGUCAAACGCCCGGACCACGGGAAUAAUCCUAUGCGCACGCUUCAAAGACUCGUCAACAUCGUUGAUUAUCUUGACGGACUCGCUUUGCCGCCCAGCUUCGUCCUACAUUUUGCUAUACUAAAGUUGGUUCAAAUUUUUGUAAAAUAAUAAGCCCAUGAUUUUUUAGCACUUAAUUACAUGUAAUUAUUGGUGAUGUAGUUUACGAAUAAACCCGCCCAAAGUAAUGCAUUUGUAUUGUGCUUCGUGAAAAAAUAUAUACAGUAAUUCACACGUGUAAGCACGAAUAUAUAACUACGGAACAUCGUUUAAUUAAUUUCAAUAUUAGAAAUUGUUAUAUAUUCUCUCCGUAUUUUUAUGCGAUGUUUUUUUUAAGAGAUUUGCCUUUGAUAACUUGUUAUAACGUGAUAUAAUGAGAGAUGCCGUGUAUAUAUAUAAAAUUGUACAAUGUAUUGUGGAAGUAGUUUCAUAGGCAAAGCUAACAAAACUCAAAUUAUUUUUCAUAUGUCUCGGUCACGAUCGAUAUAGGUUUGAACGUAAACAUGCAUUAGUCAAAGUUUCUAGAGGAUGGUGUGUCAUGGAUUCUAGGACGUAAUAUAAAAUGAGCGGUGGGAGUAUAUUAUCUCAAGUUCAUAGAAUUGAAAUUAUAUGUUUGCACCUCCACUAUGUAAUAAUAAAUUAAUAGUGAUCAAAUACUUCACCCUUUUCUAAAUAAUUGUAAGUGUUAACUAUUCCUCUUUCAAUUCGCGCACUAAUUAAUUAUGUUUAGAUAGAAUGUAAUAAUGACUUAAUUUAUAAGUGGAGUGUAAAUUGCAUGCUGUAAAUGAGCAAAACUUGCCAUAGACCAAUGGAGAACCUACAUGCGCGUGUGACCAAUAUAUUGUCUAGAUAUGAUGGAUGGAUAAUAGCCGUCUAAAUCAUUGUUAUUGCACCGAACCACUGAGAACAAGGCUGCCAAAAUAUGCACAAGUUGAUGGAGCGGUACGUAAUAGUCAUGGGUGAAUGCAUGCACAUGUGCUCGUGGACUAGAAACUGGGAGCAUGAACAGUAGUAUGCUUUUUUUCUUUUUCGGAAAUCAAUAGUAAGGUGGUUGUCUAUAUAUGAUCGUUAAUUCCUCCUAUAUACUAGAAAAAAAAUACUCGUGCGUUGUAAUAGGUAAAAAUAUUUUUGGAUGGCUAUACAUUUACUAGUUGGUUUUGCACCAAAAGCUCAUUCCUUCAUUCUUUUUUUAGUCUCAGCCUGCUCCCUUCCUUUGUUUGCAUGCCUCUCUUUGACCCAAGUCAGAAGUAGAGCUCUAGGUCUAGCUUGCAUAGCCGACUACCGUCUUCAACCUUCGAAAAACAGUCUCAUAUCUGUACGAUGCCAAAACCGAUCCUCUCCAUCAAAUCCAGUUGAAAUCUUUCUCAUCUCUUUUGAUAUACCCGAUCUCCUCUUUCCUUAUUAUCAAAAUCAGAGUGAAUCCACAAAAUUCGGGAUAAAACAGUGACUUUUAAAUCGAGAUUAAAUUCGGUGAAUUGAACUAGAAUUGUAAGGGAAAAUCAUGGGGAAAAUGAUGAGAAAAUAGUGGUGAAUGAUUUUUUCAAUCAAUUUGAGGAGGGAACACAUGGGGAGGUAGUUUGACGUGGCGGCGGCGCUAGAGUUCGGCUCGGCGAUGAAAAAAAUAUGGAAGAUAAAAAAACAAAUCUUUACCGCGUGUGAAAAACUGCAGGGUACACUCAGAAUAUGCCAUAGGUGCCGGUUUGUAAGUGUCCAUUAAUCCGGCACCAAUUAGUCAGCACCAAUAGCGAAAACCAACAUAUAUGAAAAAAAAUAGAACCGGCAUCUAUAGGUUUGCACGAGCCAAAAAAAAAAGAGCCGGCUCGAAUCAAGCCGAACUCACCAACGACGUCACCACGUCUGCCCCACAUUAAUUUCUCCUGACAUUCCCAAAUCAAAUUGAAAUCCCCACAUCGACAUCACAGAUCGACAUCCCCAAAUCAAAUUUAAAUCCCCGCAUCGACAUCACAGAUCGAAUGAACAGUCAACAUCAAAAUCAUUUAGAAAUUCACAAAAACAUCUAAAGAAAACUACAAUGGAGACUGGGGAGAGGAGGGGAGGGGAGGGCAGGGCUGGCCACUGGGUUUCUCUGCUCCACCUUCUUCCUUGACGUAGGGGGAGGGGAGAGCGCCGCCACCUGCCGCCCGCCUCCUCCCCUCAGGCGCCGCCACUUGCCGCCUGCCGCCUUCCCUCGUGCACCGCAGCCUACCGCCCCCCGCCCCCUCCCCCCCUCCCGCCACAUCUGGCAGAGGGGAGGGCGUCGCCGCCGUCUGCCGCCUCCCAUCGGGUGCCGCCUCCCCUCCCACCAGAUCCAGCGGAGGGGAUGCCGGAUCCAAUGGAAGGGGAGGGCUCUAUCGCCGCCCGCCGCUCCCGACAAUGAACGGAGAGGAGGACGGACGGAGGGAGGGAGGAUUAGAUGGAGGAAGGGGAGGACGGCUGGGAGGGGGGCGGCGACAGGGAGGGCGGUAGAGGAGAAGGCGAGGGGGGAGGGGUGCGACAGAGAAGUGAGAAGAGUAGAGGCGAGUGGAUAAGCGCUUCUCGUGUGCGCGUGCGAGUGGAUAUAGGCGGCCGGCUCAGCUCACCCCUUUCGGCUCGAUUGGGUAUAGGUGCUGGUUGUUUAAAAGAACCGGCACUUAUAAUACAUUAAACUGACAUCUAUAAUAUUGGUACCUGUUUUUUAUUUUUAAAAAACCAACACCUAUAAUAAGAACCGACACCUAUGCAUCUUAAAGGCGCCGGUUCUUAUUUUUUUUUCAUCAUGUGGAGGUGGGAAAAAACUUAUAGGUGUCGGUUUUAAAUGAACUGGCACCUAUAAAGCUAAUCUCCAUGAGGGUUUUUUACUAGUGGUAAAAAAAUAGCGAAAAAGCCGGAUGGAAAAAAAACCGGAAAAAAGGCAAGGGAAUAAAAAAGAAAGUAAAAGAAACAACGGAUGGAAAAAACUGAAAAAAACUAAGAAAAAAGGCGCGCGGGAAAAAGACAAAACGAAAAAAAGGUCUAACUAUAUUUAUACCGUCAUAUUUUUUAUCAAAAAAAUAGUCAGCGUGUAUUUAUAUUGUAAGUCUCAAAAUUACAUAUGUAAGUCCCAAAAUUACAUGUGUAAUUUUAGUGUAUUUAUAAUGUGAGUUCUAAAGUUACGUAUGUAUUUACAAGGAACAAUAUAGCGUCUCCUUUUCUAUGAUUACCUUAUUUUGAUGUAAUAAUUUGGUGUUAAUCAUAUUCUUAUGAACUAGCGUGUGAACACACAUUAUGGUAGAGACACGGAAGUACUCCGGCAUGAAUCUAAUAGGAGAUCCCAGGGAUACAAAUCUGACUGUAAUCUAACAAGAUUUAUGGCGAUAUAAUUAUAGCAAAACCGAAAAAAAAACGGAGAGGAAAAAAGGAAAAAAGGGCAAAAAAAAAAGAAGAAGAAAAAAGCAAAGCAAAAGAACAUGGGUCGAUAACUAGUGGCCAACUAGAUCAGCGCGUGGGCAUGAUCAAAAUUCAAAAGCAAUGUGUACAUGUAAAUAAACUAGGAAAUUUUGAAUAAGAUUUCCAGCCAACCUAGUGUGUGGAAUGCAUAUGGUCAUAUUUUCCGUAUGGGCCGGGGGAGUCUUCUAUUUUGGAUCAAUGCGUGCAGAAUUGCGAACGAAUAUAUUCCGGAUGAAACUAUGCAUGUUGCGCCGAUGAAAUGCCAAAAACCAGGGCAGCUACAUCUGCAUCCAUGCAGCAGCAGCCAAAAACCAAAUUUAGUGAACAAUUCAACAAGACAAUACCACUGCCUCUGCAUGCAUGGAGGAUGGAUCAGCACCUCUAUCCUUCUAUCUCUUCCCCAAACAAAUUUAGCAAAACUUUGAACAAGACAAUACCACUGCCUCUGCAUGAAUGGAGGAUGGAGCAGCACCUCUCUCCUCUCCUAAAUUACUUAUCUGAUUUACGAUCCGACUUAACCACUGUAUUCAUUGAAAUUGAAUCUUUAAAUUAAAAUAUUACAUGAUUAUAUUUAUCACAAAAAUAUAAAUGAUUAUAUCCAAAAUUGAAAUAUUUAUGAUACAUAAAAUAUCUAGUUAUAAUUGUUGAAACAUCAUAAAUAUAUGUUAAAAUAUAAAAGAUAGCCUGUGCAACAUUUAACAAUAAACUAAGUAACGAAACGUCGGAAAAAUAUCCAAAUAAUACUGUGCAUGGGCACAUUAUAAGAAAAACUUCAUUUGCAAAAACAAAAAAAAAGAAUAUGCAAUAUAGUCGAAUUUCAGUUAGAAUCACGAGAGAUCUUUCGAAAAAGCUUAAUUACCAUGAAUACAAUGAUACAGCCGGCUUAAUUAUAUAUCAGCUACAUCAUUUAGACUAAAAAAGUCAUUUGAAGUGUGUUAAGUGGAGCUUCUCUUAGCUAGCUACUUGCACUCCUAUACUACCAUGAAGACAGAAGAGAGGGAAAUCUCGAUGGGAGAGAGAGGAGAUGGGUAGAAAUUAGUGGGUGGUGUGUUAGUUAGCUGAGAGCGGGGGUAUGUCUGAUUUUUUUUUUCUUGACGAGAUUGGGCGCAUGACAGUGAGCAUUUUCCAUCAUAUAUUCCUCACAGAAUAGACACCCAGUCACAGCUCAUAGUAUUUGCAUCCCCACAGGUCACGGCAUUAUCAUUUAAGAAAAUGGCAAGUGCCAUUGGCCUUCCUAGCUCUCUGCCGGCUAUAAAACGGUGCCUUGGGGGAGCAUGCAAUACCACAGCAAAUCACUCCACUCCUCCACUCAUACACCACCACACUGCACACACACCCAACAAAGAUGAAGCUUACCAUGAAGCUUUCCAUCGCCCUGGCCUGCUUCCUCUUCUUCCUCGCGGCGGCGACCACCGCCUCCGCGCAGUGCACGUUCGAGAUCCUCGUCAAGACCGACGGCCGGAGGAACGCCGGCACCGACGCCCGCGUCUCGCUGCAGGUGCGCGCCGCCAGCGGGCCGACGCUGACGAUCACCAACCUGGAGUCGUGGGGCCAGAUGGCCGCCGGCCACGACUACUUCGAGAAGGGGAACCUCGACCGGUUCAGGGGCGCCGGCGCCUGCAUGCCGUCGGAGCCCUGCAACAUGGUGCUCACCUCCGACGGGUCCGGCAACAAGCCCGGGUGGUACGUGAGCUACGUGAUGGUGACGCAGCUCGGGCAGGGGAGCCUCCCGUCGAUGACGCACCGGUGGGCGGUGGAUCAGUGGCUGGCCAUUGACGAGGCACCGCACAUGCUCACCGCCGAGCGGAGGGGCUGCGGCAUUGGCGCAGCGGCGCCAUGAUCAUCGAGGUAGCUGCCUAUAGCUCCAUCGACCAGUGUUGUCUCUGCGUGCAUCAGCAUGCUAGUAACUUAAAUUAAUAAUAAGUUCCAGGUCUAAGCCCUGUACUAUGUGUGGGGCACAGUGUCUGCUUUGCCAAUGUAACGUGAUCAUAAUAAGUCAAUUCAAUUCAGAGAGUGAAUUGCAGUUUGUGCCAUCUUUCGUUAACAAAGGUUUAUAGUUACUGAGUUGCUCGCUCCCAGCAAGAUGCCGAAAUAUUAUUUUUAAGUGUGUAUGAUGCUUUCACGAAAACAAGAGGAUACCAUGUGCAAUAGUGCUACGCGUUGGAAUUGGUAGCUAAGAAGCAUUUAUGUCAGUUUGGAUGGUAUAGUACUUAUAAAAUUUUGUGCUAGAAUAACGUACCCGACCCUUUCAGAAGAUAAAGAAGUAACACCAGUGGAUAAAAAAAAACCGUCACAUGCCCUGUUCCCUAUAAAUAAGGAGAUCCAAUUUUUUUUUUUUUGAGAUCCCCUCUUCUUCCUCCUCAAGCCCCUAUCACAAUUGACAAUAGCAGACCUCAUACUACACCAAGACUCAUAUCGGAUCUAUUCAUCCUAUUUAAAAAAUAUACCUAAUUAUCUUUUAUUUUUGUUGUAUAUCCAAAGUGCGCUACCGUGGAGCGUAGAGUUGUAUUUUCUUUGUUUUAAAAUAAAUCAACUUCUAGAGUUUAAAUUUGUCCUAAAAACCAAUUUCUAACUUCUUACCUACCAUUAAUAUGCAAAUCGAGAAAUUUUAAUCAUUCACUACCCUUACCUAUCUAUCCACCAAUAUAACUUAUCUAUUAAUUAGAGAUAUUUUGGUCUAUUGUUAUUAUUCUACCGGAAGAGAAUAGCUACUGGAGAAGGGAUAAGAACGAUACCGGGCACCAGCUAUUCUCCAAAAUGUCCCCUAACUAAUGAUUAUGUUGCUCUCAUCUCUCUUUUAAAAAUUCACUACUAAAAUUUAUAUGGUUUCCUUAGUCACCCCACUCGAUCUUGUCCUAUUUUCGGGUUCCAGGAAUUUCCACCAAUACCAAAUGCAAGCAACAUCUCAAUAAUAUAUGUACGUUAUUCAACAACUAAAAAGACCAAAGCUUUCGAUAAAGCUCGUUGAGCAAAUAGCCUAUUUAUUAGAUAAAAUAUUACCAUUACAUAUGUUAUACAGUACUCUCUCCAUCCAAAAAAACGAAUCAUAUAUCCAGAUUCUUCGUAGUACUAAGAUGUGUCACAUUUAGUACUAUGUUGAUUUUUUAUAGGACAGAGAGAGUAUAUACACGAUGGCCCAUUACGCGGCAAAGCAGCGUCUCUUUUAUAGUUAGUUGAGAGUGAAUAUUAUGAACGAAAAUUUACGCCAUCGAACCUUCGCGCCGUGAGCCUCUUCUACCAAAAAUAAAUAAAAAUUAAACGGAGGAAAACGUUCCCCUCUUUCUCACUGGGGCUCUCGGCGGAGUCUCGGAAUCGGCGCCGUUCGUCGGAAUCCGAUUCCGAUUUCCAAGUUUCCCCACGCAAUGCCCAUAUAGCCCCACCAGCCGCCUGCCUCGGUACGUAUCUCUCUCGAGUCUCGACCCACCGCGUAUUCCAAUCCAUCCAACCGUCGCCUUCUGGGUUGCCUGCUUGGUUUUCCAGCCAGCGCCAUGGAUUCACGCUCCUCCGUCAAACGGUGAGUCCUCCAUGCGCCUCUGGUUCGAGGAAUCUAGUUUUUAUACUUCAUUUUCCGAACGACGAAUCUAUCUCUGCUGCUUCUCAAUCGCAUCCACCAGAGCCUCAAUCUACUGCUGCUGCUGUGCCUCGCUCACAAUGGAUUAGAUCUUUGAAAUGAUACAUCUUUAAAAGAAACUUUUUUGUUUUAUUAAUUGACUAGAAAAAUGUCCGUGCAUUACAACGGGUGAAAAAUUUCUAAUGAUAAUAUAUAUUUUUCAUGCAUAACCAUGUCAAUGGCAAUGUUUGUAUGGAUCGUUUGUAGCUAAAACAAUCAGAAAAUUGGAACAUCUUCAAUAUAAUAGACCAACCUCGACGAUGGCAACCUUACCGAUGUUUACUUUAUCUAAAAUAAUUGGAUUAUUCAUGUGACAACAUGCAUAUAAUCUAAAAUACUCUUUCAAUCUCAUUCCUGCAACCAAUAAUAGGACCAAUUAAAUCUUACCCUGUCUCGCAUGACCAAGUCUACACAAAAUAGAGUCAUUGAGCACUCUUCUCUAAAUAACAAUUAAAAAUAUGUUUAUUUUUUAAUAUUAUUUUCAUAUAAUAUGUUAUCAAGAAUAGUAGCUAUACUUAACAAAAAUAGGUUGAUAAUUGCCUACAGAGAUACACAGGGUCUCUAAUACAUGAGAAUAAAUGACGAAACAAAAGUCAUAGAGGAGAUGGAAAAAACCGAUGGAUCCUAUCCGACCCAAGCAUCCAUCAAUUCAGCUUUUUUUUAAUGACCGUUUUCUCAGAGCGGAUUGUAUUUUUAUAAAUGGUAUUUUUUUUGCAUGAUUUUUUCAAACUAUUUUUUAUGAAAUGGUGUGUUUUUCUGAUAGUUUUUCCCCUGCAGGUUUUUUUUUUUGCUUUUUUACGGAUGAAGGAAACCCUUUUUUGUUCUCGUUCUUUUUUUUUGUUUAUAUUAGAGAUAGAGAAUAGAUAUAUACAUACUACUAAAACAAAUUAAAAUUGGUUCUUUUUGCCGUGCUCUUUUUUCUGACUUUUUAAUCGGACUCUCUUUUUUUCUAGGUUGUUUUUUAUUUGGACUGGUAGUAAAGGCCGUGCUUUUUUUUCCCGACUUUUCGUUGUCUAGUUUUUCCCCUUUUGGAAUUGAAUCUACGUUUAUUAUUUUUCUUUUUUUUCGCCGCUUUCGUAGGGGAGACAGACUUUUUUUUGCUUUUUUUUUUUUGCAAAACAGACUCAAACAUGGAUGACAAAUCGUGGAAAUAUCUUUAAUUUUUAUAACCUACUCAAACACGAAUGACGAAUGGCGGAAGCAUCUUUAAUUUUUAUAAUAGUAGAGAUCGGACAAUUAUUUUUGGGAAUAAGACAUAUUCGUUUUUUCCCCCGAUUUUUCUUUUACCGCGUCAGAUUUGGUUUUUCUUUUCUUUUUUUCACACGUUUUCUUUCGCUCGGUUUUUUUGGAUCGGAUAAUUUUGGUUUUUUUUCGUCCGGUCUUUUUCCGCCCUUUUUUCGGAUCGGACAUAUUUGCAGAUUUGGUUUUUCUUUUCUUUUAUUCGCACGUUUUUUUCGCCCGGUUUUUAUGGACCAGACAAUUUUGGUUUUUUUUCGCCUAUUUUUUCUGGACGUUUUCUUUCACCGGUUUUUUUAGAUCGGACAAUUUUGGGUUUUUUUGCCGGUUUUUUCGCCUCUUUUUUCUGGAUUGGGCAGAUUUGGUUUUUCUUUUCUUUUCUUCCGCACGUUUUUUCACCUAGUUUUUUUGAUCGGACAAAUUUGGUUUUUUCGCCCGGUUUUUUUGACGGACGAUGGAAGCACCUCUUAUUUUUUUAAGUAGUAGAGAUAGUGGAUUCCAAUAGACAUAGUGAUAGCCCUAGGGGUGAAAACGGUAACGAUAAUUACCGGCCGACCGGCGUUCGUUUUCGACUUUCUACCGGCCGAGCUAUAUGGAAAUGGUAAUCGACCGAAACAAAAAUAAAAAUGGUAAAAAAUAUGGAAAUGAAAAUGGAAAUGGUUUUGCUGUUAUACCGAUCGUUUCCGUAUUUACCGUAUCAUAGCCCCACCAAACGAAGGGAGAAAAAAAACAACACAAUGGUCUGCGUCACAUAACAUUUUUUUACUUUCGGCAUGAUGAACAUCUCUCUAGUUUCAAACAAAUUUGUUGUUGUUUGCUUUGUGUUUACCGCUAAAGAUAUCUCAGGUGACAUAUCCUGGUGGUUGUCUUUCAGGAGCCCCAGAAAACCAUUACCACCGGAAGCGUGUCAAGGCAAGAGCAGCUAUUUUCAGGAGCACCAUGCCAUGCUUGAAAAUAAGGGAAAAUCUCCAUACCACCACGCUCUGCACGCAUGGCGCUUCGCCUUCUGUCCACCGAUCUCAGAUUCCCCACAGGCAGCCACCGUGAUUCCACCAAUUAAAAGAAAAAAACUACAAGGAUGACUUAGAACACCACAUCAGCAUCAUAAAAAAAGCCUUGAAUUCCUACAACAUGGCCAAUGAUAACUUGGACUACGAGUUUACAGGAGGUAUGAGGAUAAGCAUCAUCGACGAGUUUGGAUCAACCUACCAUCAUUGCAACUUUCUUGUCUUCUCCCCUACCAUGCGAACCAUCCAUCUCUUCACGGAGUUCGAUGCCAACACCCAGGACGAACGUGGCGUGCACGUGUUCUGCCCCAUCUUCCUUUGUCGCAAGGAGUUUGGCAUUUGCUAUGGUUGUGGACUUAUGCACCCUAGAACUGAUGAUUACGUUGCAGGUCGUACCAACAUUUGGACUCCCUACGGAGAAGAGGAGGAGGAGGAUUUUGACUAAAGAAUUUCUGUGUAUUCAUUCAGCAACAUGUCAACUUAUUUUAUGUUUUGGAGUGUGUUUUGAACUGCUGUUUAUCUUGAGAUAUCUUUUGUGACCUUCAUGGAAUGCCGUACCACCUUGUUUUCAGUAAAAUUUCGUUUGUGAUCCUCAUGAAGAUACAAAGUGCUAUACCACCUUUUUUUUUAUUUUUUAGUAAUAUUUUAAUUUCUCUAUACUGUGGAUCGAGAUACCUCCAGGAACUGACUCAAGACUAACAUCCCAUAUAUACCAAAGCAUUAUACCAAAUAAUAGCCCAUAUAUCACAAAGGUUAUAUAGGCCCAAUUAACAUCCAAUAUUACACAGGCCCAAUUAAUAUCCAAUAUAAAAAUACAAACCCAGUUAACAUACAUGGAAACAGGUUCACCGACUACUCAGUGACCACAACAAGCUCAUGUACAUGGCACUGACCAUAGCAAAACAAACAACGUGCAUUAGUAAAAACCAGUCUUGCUACUGCAAUGGCGCUCCUUGAAAAGAUCAAUUGCUGCAGGCGGCGGCACAUCUUCAUACUUAGCUUUGCUUCCGAAACUGCAUGCAAACAAUUUGUAAAUUCAAUGACAUCGCUCUCCAAAAGUUUUUCCAUAUGCAUAUUUAAAAUGCUAGGUACAACAUACCAUCACUGUAAAGUUUCCCUAUCCAUAAUGCCAUCCAAUGUGUGAAUGAAAUAUGGGUGCUAGGUGCAUACCCAGUGAGUAUUAUCCACCAUGUCUCAGAACCACCAUAAGGGUUUAUAUAGUUAAAAAACAGUAGCCUAAAUAAAAAUAUAGUGAGUGAUGGUACAUAAGUAUUACCAACUCCUAAAAAAUGCACGUCUACCUUCAGUGGCUCAAACAUGAGACUUCCAAACUCAAUCUAAAAAAAAUAGCUAUUAUGCAUAUAACAGAAUUUAGGUACACCUCAUACUAGUAAAUCAGAUCAAAGGAACUUAUGCGCAAAGUAGAUCAUGAGCAAUAUUUUAAUUUAUCAAAUAACAGUAAAAAGGAACUGGCAAAUUUUUCAUGUAUCUUACCACGACAUGGCACUUCACAAUGUAGCUCCAAUAGGCCGUCCUUUGCUGGUUCUGAACAUUCUCAUGGUUUUAGUUCAUUUUCGGACACAUGUCCUACAGAAAAGCAAACUACAAGAUAAGCAGCUUACUUAUAUCACGUAAACAAAAACGACAAGUCAUACACAACAUUUACAGAUGGAGAGAAAAGACACGUUUUAUGAUUUUCACAAUAUUUACAUAUGAAUAAAAAAUAUAUUCUAUGAUUUUCACUUGAAUACAAGACUAGAUCAGUCAACAAUAUUAAAUGACAAAAAGUCAUCAACAACAAAAUUGUAUAACUCAUCAAUAUCUAUAACUUUUAUUUUGAUCAUUUUGCUAUAUGACUUUGUUUCAAUAAUUUGAAUUUGAAUUUGAAUUUCAAAUUUUGACAACUUCAAAAAACAUUUUCAAAUAUUAAAUGAUUUCAACUGAAAAAUUCAUCAACUACAAAGUUGUAUAACUCAUCAAUAUCUAUAACUUUUAUUUUGGACAUUUUCUUCAUCCGACGAAGUGAUAGUAAUGUUGAUCAUAAAAAUUACAUACCUCUCUUAUAGUUUAUAAACUAUAUAAGAGAUAUGUACAUUUUGUGAACAAUGUUACAAAUCACUUUCUCUGUUGCUGAAAAGAAAAAAAAAAAUCUUGCUGACAUGGUCUUCUUUGCAACCUGGAAUGGUCAGUUUAGGAACCUGGAAUGUUGUCCUUGCACAACUAACGAAGUAAUGAUAUGGUCUUGAUUUGCAGGAUAAGGAGACUAGGAGGGUGAUUGGGAGGAUCUACUACUUCUUUGUUGGAUCUGCCACUUCUUGCAAUCAGCAAACAUACGUAAGAAAGUGCCUUUAGCAAAUUGAUCUCUUCAAACUCCUAUCUAAACAUGAACAAUAAGUCCUCGAUCGGCCUUGAGUGAUUAGGGAAUGUCAUAUAUAUAGCAUUUGAAUGAACUUAGCUUCAGUCUUAAGACUCUUGGUGCGAUUACAAACUCUGAACUCAAGUGGAGAACACCUCUCUUUUUAGGUCAACAUUCUGAAUCUGCAUUGGCAACAUGCAGGCAUCUUUGAAGGGUUUCUCAAUGGGUCUAUGAGGGCACCAAUUACACACUAAUAAUUUAGCAUUUAAGCUGUAGGAAGCCUGUCGAUCUCCUGUCAUGUAUACAGAAAUAGGAGCUUUGAAGUCUUGUGCAUCUGAAGCCCAGAAUACAUGAAGCUCCUAUGCUGAGUUUUUAUCAUCACUAUGAAUUUCUAAAGAUGCCCUGUACACUUGAAAGUUCACUGCUGAAUUUUCGAGCUUUUACUAUUGUUCUAAAAUUCUUGAGAUGUACUAUCAGGACUCAAAAGUUGAGUGUCUCACUCCAUUGCAUCUUGUUUUUAAGAUACUUAAAUAGAGGAGCAAUUAGAACAAUGAGAUGCCAUUCAAUCGUUUGAACUAUUUUGUCACGUGAGGAAACCUGGGGAGUAGUUUAAUAUUCUUUUUUGUUCACUAUUUUCUCUCUAUUUUUGAUCUAUCAAACAGAUGCAUAAUAAGAUGCUAGCCUCGUCAUCAAUGAAAUGUGUGCACUGCAUAUUUCUGUUGGUUGUUUCACAAAUUCAUAAUAUUUGAUCUAUCAUCUCAUUUAUUUUCAGAAAUGGUUAAGAUUGUUGGGGGCUCCACACCAUCAAGUACAAAAUCAGGUUAGCCAUGUGCAUGUUAUUGACUCGAAUGAUGCACUUUUUGCAUGCUAAUUUCGCCCAUGUCUUCCUUUCUUAUGCCCUCUUGCAAAUAUAUAAUUUUUUUUGAGAAAUUUAACGAUUUACUAUUAACAAACGCCCGAUUAUUUAUUCUUUUUUAAAAUGUGAUCAUUUUGCUCAUAAAAUGUGACCUAUUUUAAGCAAGCCAUGCUUUAGUUCCUUUUUAAAAAAUUGCAUUCAAAUAACAGUGCAUUAGCACAAAAAUGUGCCGUUGUCUGCUGGGCUAUUUUUCUCUCAAAGGUUUAGAAGUGACAAAUUAAAAAUCUUGGACUAUUGAAGUCAUAUACUUGGAGGAUGAUCCCCUGGUCAACGACGUAGUAAUAUGCCCGUGUAUCUUGUUCUUUAGAUACAGAUCUUAGCUAGGAUUUGGGAUGAAAGCAAAAAAAGAUGCGUUCACAUGUAUAACGGUCACAGAGGACCAAUUAGAACAAUCAGAUUUAUAUCCCUGGGAUUCAUGUUCUGGGCAGAAAUUCUGUUUAAAUCUGCAAAUAUUAUUUUAUACCAUAUUUUUAAAUUAGAUAGGAUGUGGAACUUCCUGCUACUAUUGGUGUUUCAGUAAUCUGUAUUGGCAAUACAGUUGUUCUCAUGGAAUUAAUAUGUUUGCAUCUAUUCAUAUAAUCUCUUGUCCAAUAAUUUUCUGUACCUUUCUGGGAUAUAUUGUGAUGUAACUAUAGCAGUUGUUCACUGAUUAAUACACCUUCUAGGUCUGCACUUUGAAUCUUUAUGUGGACUUCCACCAACUGAACUUGGCCACUGACUAACUAUGAUUUUGAAUGGUAUUGAUUGGAUGUGUGAUGGAAUCGGUUCACAUUUUUUGUCCUGUACAAUAUGAGUGUGAUGUGUGAACUGUUAGAUUUUUGUGAUUUGAUUACUGGCACAAUGUGAUGCAAUCGGUUGAACUUCUUUGUCAUGUGUGGAAACCCGGGGAGAAUUUGUUUGUCUAUAUUUUAUACACGCUUGUAAAAUUUAAUUGUGAAUUGAGAUUGUAAAUAUGGUGCUCUAGAAAAAAAAACUACAGUUAGCUAUGGAUUUAAAUUAAUACUCUCUUCGUUUCAUAUUAGAAGUCGUUUUGAUUUUCUGCAGUCAAACUUCUUAAAAGUUUAAUUAAGUUUAUAGAAAAGUCUAUGUACUUAGUACCUAUUCAGCAUUUAUUUAAUAAAAAAAUAUGGGACCCACCUAUCAUACUCUUCUUCCCCUCUUCCUCUCUCUCUCCUCUCUAGCUCUUCCUCUCUCUCUUGCAGCGCGCACGGCAAGGACGGGCGGUGGGCGUGGGCGGUCGGCGAGGAUGGCGUAGGGACGGGCGGUCGGCGAGGACGACGGUGCGGACGUCGGCACUCAAGACGGCAUGCACGGUGCGGCGGCAGGAAGGCGUUCGGUGCUGCGGUCCGGGAGGGAGCAGCGGCGGCAAGGGACACAGAUGCAGCGACCACACGGGAAGCAGAGGCGGCAGCGGCGAACUCCGCCUCCGCCACUGGUCGGGAUGGCGCUCGGGAUGAGGGUGGUGGCUGGUGGCGGAGGCGGCUGGAGGCAGAGCUCGGGAUGAGGCGAGGCUACGGCGGUGAGGUUGGCUCUGCAAGCACGAUAGAGGAGGCGAGGCGACAGCGGAAGAGCGUGGCUGCGGAGGAAGUGAGGCGGCGGCGGCGACGGCGUCGACUUUUUCAUUGACAACGGCCCGGUCGACCACUACGACGACCUCGCCAGUCGCAUCCAUGACCCCGAUGGAUCUCCGAUGCCGUUGCCCUUGUCCAGGAGCAUCUCCGAUGGCUUCCCCGUGCUGUAGAACGCGAAGUAGAGCACGGACUGGAUCCACGUCAUCUCGGUGCAGUCGCUCGCCAUCACGUUGAGCUCCAGGAAGGUGUCGGCCAUGGUGGCGACGAGGCCGGCACACGGUACAGGGGCACGACGACGCGAAGGAAGGCGUCGUUGGGAAGGGACGACGCCACAUGCUGCCACUUGAUGAGGAGGUUGGUGGCGGACUGGUUUCUUGAGCGGUGGACGGUGAACACCGUGACGGUGGCCGGAAUGGGGACAAGCCGGAGCUUCCAGGACAAGACGAUCCCGAAGUUUCUGCCGCCUCCGCCUCGGAUGGCCCAGAAGAGGUCCUCCUCCAUGGUGGCCCUGUCGAGGAGCCUCCCCUUGGCGUCCACCAUGGUGGCGUCGAGGACGUGGUCGGAGGCGAGGCUGUGUGCUUCCGCAGCAUCAGGUCGAAGCCGCCGCCGUUGAGGUACCCGCCGAUGCCGAACGUCGGGCCGACACUUCUGGGGAACCUAAGGCGGGAGGUUUUGUUGGUGAUGGCAUAGUACACCUCGCUGAGCAUUUUGCUGGAGCCGACCCACGCUGUCUGGCCACGGACGUCGACCACCCGCCGCCGCCGCCGCUCGACCUGCGCCGUCGGCCCGAGAGAGAGGGGGCGAGAGAGAGACAAGUGAUAGAGUAUAUAUGAAUUUAUAUAAAUAUUUCCCAUUGCAACGCAUGGGCACCUAACUAGUAUUUAUGGAACUCAGAUCAAUAC